rnacentral:rRNA from 1 species
UACGUAGGGCGCAAGCGUUGUCCGGAAUUAUUGGGCGUAAAGAGCUCGUAGGCGGUUUGUCGCGUCUGCUGUGAAAACCUAAGGCUCAACCUUGGGCUUGCAGUGGGUACGGGCAGACUAGAGUGCGGUAGGGGUGACUGGAAUUCCUGGUGUAGCGGUGGAAUGCGCAGAUAUCAGGAGGAACACCGAUGGCGAAGGCAGGUCACUGGGCCGCAACUGACGCGGAGGAGCGAAAGCAUGGGGAGCGAACAGG